GAUCCUGGCUUAGGAUGAACGCUGGCGGCGUGCCUAACACAUGCAAGUCGAACGAGCGAGAGAUGAAACCUAGUGAUUCUCGAGCGAGUGGCGGACGGGUGAGUAACGCGUGGGUAACCUGCCUUACAGAGGGGGAUAACAGUCUGAAAAGACUGCUAAUACCGCAUAAGCACACAGUACCGCAUGGUACAGGGUGAAAAGAUUUAUCACUGUAAGAUGGACCCGCGUCUGAUUAGCCAGUUGGCAGGGUAACGGCCUACCAAAGCGACGAUCAGUAGCCGACCUGAGAGGGUGGUCGGCCACAUUGGGACUGAGACACGGCCCAAACUCCUACGGGAGGCAGCAGUGGGGGAUAUUGCACAAUGGAGGAAACUCUGAUGCAGCCGACGCCGCGUGAGUGAAGAAGUAUUUCGGUAUGUAAAGCUCUAUCAGCAGGGAAGAUAAUGACAGUACCUGACCAAGAAGCCCCGGCUAACUACGUGCCAGCAGCGGC
rnacentral:rRNA from 1 species